rnacentral:rRNA from 1 species
UACGGAGGGGGCUAGCGUUGUUCGGAAUUACUGGGCGUAAAGCGCACGUAGGCGGCUUUGCAAGUUAGAGGUGAAAGCCCGGGGCUCAACCCCGGAAUUGCCUUUAAAACUGCAUCGCUAGAAUUGUGGAGAGGUAAGUGGAAUUCCGAGUGUAGAGGUGAAAUUCGUAGAUAUCGGGAGGAACACCAGUGGCGAAGGCGGCUCACUGGACUGGUAUUGACGCUGAGGUGCGAAAGCGUGGGGAGCAAACAGG